rnacentral:rRNA from 1 species
UCGAGAAUAUUCCUCAAUGGCCGAAAGGCUGAAGGAGCGACGCCGCGUGUAUGAAGAAGCCCUUCGGGGUGUAAAAUACUUUUAACCGGGACGAAAUACUGACGGUACCGGUUGAAUAAGGGGCUGCUAACCUCGUGCCAGCAGCAGCGGUAAUACGAGGGCCCCAAGCGUUAUCCGGAUUUAUUGGGCGUAAAGAGUGUGUAGGCGGUUUAUAACAUCUCCUGUUAAAUCUCAAGGCUCAACCUUGAGGCCGCGGGAGAUAUGGAUAAACUAGAGUUCGGAAGAGGCAAGUGGAAUUGCUGGUGUAGGGGUUAAAUCCGUUAAUAUCAGCAGGAACACCAAAAGCGAAGGCAGCUUGCUGGGACGACACUGACGCUGAGACACGAAAGCGUGGGGAGCG